ACAGAACUUAGAAGAGUAGAGAGAAAAUUCUUUUUCCUCCCCUUUAGCAACAGAGUCUCCGUGGAAACACAGACAGGCAGCAGGUGAUAGUAGUUCCCACCCAGAGGACAGCAAGCACAGUGAAUGUCUGAUGCCGCGGGACGGUGCUUCAACCUUGAAGAUGCCCUGAGAGUUCUGCAGCCCUAGGAGCAGACUGUGAAUCCUUACAGCCCCUCCCCCAUCACCACUCACCCUCCUGCUCCCAGGGCCAAGGGCGGCACAGCAAACAGGACAGAACAGAAUUGAACACAGUGGUUUUGGCGAGCAAGUCAGCAUGCAAACGGGAAUAAGAGCCCUGGGACUUUCCUAAGACAAACAAAGGAUUUAAAAGAAAUAACAAUAUUUAAUAGAACUCAAAACCCCCAAGUCCAGAUUAAGAAAACAACUUGCUACAAACAACGGAAGAUACUAAAAUUAGCUGUAUUUUUUAACUAGAAACUCUCUCAUCACAGCACCCAAAAAAAGGUACAUCAAGUUUAAGAAAUGUUUUAUGAUGGGAAUAGAAAUGUUCAGCUCCAGGAAGAAUAACUACUGAAUCCUCCACUGACUGGAGCUUCCCAAGUGUCACUAGUGGUAAAGAAUCCGCCUGCCAAUGAAGGAGACAUAAAGAGACCUGGGUUUGAUCUCUGGGUUGAAAAGAUCCCCCUGGAGGAGGGCAUGGCAACCCAUUCCAGUAUUCUUGCCUGGAGAAUCCCAUGGACAGAGGACCCUGUAGGGCAACAGUUCAUGGGAUGGCAAGCAGUUGAACAUGAAUGAAGCAACUCAGC
ensembl:lncRNA